AUACAGGUGUUGCAUGGCUGUCGUCAGCUCGUGUCGUGAGAUGUUCGGUUAAGUCCGCUAACGAGCGCAACCCUCGUCGUAUGUUAUAUGUGUCAUACGAGACUGCCGGUAAAAAGCCGAAGGAAGGUGAGGAUGAUGUCAAGUCAGCAUGACCUUUAUAUCCAGGGCUACACACACGCUACAAUGGUCUGUACAAUGGGUAGCCAAGCCGCGAGGCGGAGCCAAUCCUGAAAGCAGGCCUCAGUUCAGAUUGCAGUCUGCAACUCGACUGCAUGAAGCCGGAGUUGCUAGUAACCGCAGGUCAGCAAUACUGCGGUGAAUACGUUCCCGGGUCUU
rnacentral:rRNA from 1 species